UACGGGGGGGGCAAGCGUUGUUCGGAAUUACUGGGCGUAAAGGGCUCGUAGGCGGCCAACUAAGUCGGACGUGAAAUCCCCAGGCUCAACCUGGGAACUGCGUCCGAUACUGGAUGGCUUGAAUUCGGGAGAGGGAUGCAGAAUUCCAGGUGUAGCGGUGAAAUGCGUAGAUAUCUGGAGGAAUACCAGUGGCGAAGGCGGCAUCCUGGACCGACAUUGACGCUGAGGAGCGAAAGCUAGGGGAGCAAACGGG
rnacentral:rRNA from 1 species